rnacentral:rRNA from 1 species
UACGUAGGGGGCUAGCGUUGUCCGGAAUCAUUGGGCGUAAAGCGCGUGUAGGCGGUCCGGUAAGUCCGCUGUGAAAGUCGGGGGCUCAACCCUCGAAUGCCGGUGGAUACUGUCGGGCUAGAGUGCGGAAGAGGCGAGUGGAAUUCCUGGUGUAGCGGUGAAAUGCGCAGAUAUCAGGAGGAACACCAAUUGCGAAGGCAGCUCGCUGGGACGUUACUGACGCUGAGGCGCGAAAGCGUGGGGAGCAAACAGG